UGGGGAAUAUUGGACAAUGGGCGAAAGCCUGAUCCAGCAAUGCCGCGUGAGUGAUGAAGGCCUUCGGGUUGUAAAGCUCUGUCGGGAGGGACGAAAAAGCGGAUUAACAAACCGCAUUGACGGUACCUCCAAAGGAAGCACCGGCUAACUCUGUGCCAGCAGCCGCGGUAAUACAGAGGGUGCAAGCGUUGUUCGGAAUUACUGGGCGUAAAGCGCGUGUAGGCGGCGACGUAAGUCGGGUGUGAAAUCCCUCGGCUCAACCGAGGAAGUGCACUCGAUACUGCGUUGCUUGAAUGUCGGAGGGGAUGGCGGAAUUCCCGGUGUAGAGGUGAAAUUCGUAGAUAUCGGGAGGAACACCUGUGGCGAAGGCGGCCAUCUGGACGACAAUUGACGCUGAGACGCGAAAGCGUGGGUAGCAAACAGGAUUAGAUACCCCCGUAGUCC
rnacentral:rRNA from 1 species